rnacentral:rRNA from 1 species
UACGGGAGGCAGCAGUGGGGAAUAUUGCACAAUGGGCGCAAGCCUGAUGCAGCCAUGCCGCGUGUAUGAAGAAGGCCUUCGGGUUGUAAAGUACUUUCAGUCGUGAGGAGGUGUUAAGGUUAAUAACCUUAGCAAUUGACGUUAGCGACAGAAGAAGCACCGGCUAACUCCGUGCCAGCAGCCGCGGUAAUACGGAGGGUGCGAGCGUUAAUCGGAAUUACUGGGCGUAAAGGGCACGCAGGCGGUUAAUUAAGUUGGAUGUGAAAUCCCCGGGCUUAACCUGGGAAUGGCAUUCAAGACUGGUUAGCUAGAGUCUUGUAGAGGGGGUAGAAUUCCAUGUGUAGCGGUGAAAUGCGUAGAGAUGUGGAGGAAUACCGGUGGCGAAGGCGGCCCCUGGGACAAAGGACUGACGCUCAUGUGCGAAAGCGUGGGGAGCAAACAGGGAUUAGAUACC